rnacentral:rRNA from 1 species
UACGGGGGGAGCAAGCGUUGUUCGGAUUUACUGGGCGUAAAGGGCGCGUAGGCGGCCAGCACAAGUCAGUUGUGAAAUCUCCGAGCUUAACUCGGAACGGUCAACUGAUACUGCGGGGCUAGAGUGCGGAAGGGGCAACUGGAAUUCUUGGUGUAGCGGUGAAAUGCGUAGAUAUCAAGAGGAACACCUGCGGCGAAGGCGGGUUGCUGGGCCGACACUGACGCUGAGGCGCGAAAGCUAGGGGAGCGAACGGG